GGCUUGCUGGUCUAGUGGUAUGGUUCCCGCUUUGGGUGCGAGAGGUCACGGGUUCAAUUCCUGUGCAAGCCG
rnacentral:tRNA from 1 species